ACUUAAAUAGCUUAUAUAAAGCCUAAUAUUGAAGAUAUUAAGAAAACACUUGUUUUUAAGUA
rnacentral:tRNA from 1 species